UAACACGUAAGCAACCUGCCUAUUAGAGGGGAAUAACAGUGAGAAAUCACUGCUAAUACCGCAUAAGCUGACAAUACCGCAUGGUAUAGUCAGAAAAGGAGAAAUCCGCUAAUAGAUGGGCUUGCGUCCGAUUAGCUAGUUGGUGGGGUAAAGGCCUACCAAGGCAACGAUCGGUAGCCGAGCUGAGAGGCUCAACGGCCACAUUGGGACUGAGAUACGGCCCAGACUCCUACGGGAGGCAGCAGUCGGGAAUAUUGCACAAUGGAGGAAACUCUGAUGCAGUGACACCGCGUAUAGGAAGAAGGUUUUCGGAUUGUAAACUAUUUUAGACAGGGAAGAAAAAAGACAGUACCUGUAGAAUAAGCUCCGGCUAACUACGUGCCAGCAGCCGCGGUAAUACGUAGGGAGCAAGCGUUAUCCGGAAUUAUUGGGUGUAAAGGGUGCGUAGACGGGACAGCAAGUUAGUUGUGAAAGCCCUCGGCUUAACUGAGGAACUGCAACUAAAACUAUUGUUCUUGAGUGCAGGAGAGGAAAGCGGAAUUCCUAGUGUAGCGGUGAAAUGCGUAGAUAUUAGGAGGAACACCAGUGGCGAAGGCGGCUUUCUGGACUGUAACUGACGUUGAGGCACGAAAGUGUGGGGAGCAAACAGGAUUAGAUACCCUGGUAGU
rnacentral:rRNA from 1 species